rnacentral:rRNA from 1 species
AGAGUUUGAUCCUGGCUCAGGAUGAACGCUAGCGGAGGCCUAACACAUGCAAGCCGAGCGGUAGAGUCUCUUCGGAGACUUGAGAGCGGCGCACGGGUGCGGAACACGUGUGCAACCUGCCUUUAUCUGGGGAUAGCCUUUCGAAAGGAAGAUUAAUACCCCAUAAUAUAUUAGAUGGCAUCAUUUGAUAUUGAAAACUCCGGUGGAUAGAGAUGGGCACGCGCAAGAUUAGAUAGUUGGUGAGGUAACGGCUCACCAAGUCUGCGAUCUUUAGGGGGCCUGAGAGGGUGAUCCCCACACUGGUACUGAGACACGGACCAGACUCCUACGGGAGGCAGCAGUGAGGAAUAUUGGACAAUGGGUGAGAGCCUGAUCCAGCCAUCCCGCGUGAAGGACGACGGCCCUAUGGGUUGUAAACUUCUUUUGUAUAGGGAUAAACCUAGAUACGUGUAUCUAGCUGAAGGUACUAUACGAAUAAGCACCGGCUAACUCCGUGCCAGCAGCCGCGGUAAUACGGAGGGUGCAAGCGUUAUCCGGAUUUAUUGGGUUUAAAGGGUCCGUAGGCGGAUCUGUAAGUCAGUGGUGAAAUCUCACAGCUAACUGUGAAACUGCCAUUGAUAUGCAGGUCUUGAGUGUUGUUGAAGUAGCUGGAAUAAGUAGUGUAGCGGUGAAAUGCAUAGAUAUUACUUAGAACACCAAUUGCGAAGGCAGGUUACUAAGCAACAACUGACGCUGAUGGACGAAAGCGUGGGGAGCGAACAGGAUUAGAUACCCUGGUAGUCCACGCCGUAAACGAUGCUAACUCGUUUUUGGGCUUUCGGGUUCAGAGACUAAGCGAAAGUGAUAAGUUAGCCACCUGGGGAGUACGUUCGCAAGAAUGAAACUCAAAGGAAUUGACGGGGGCCCGCACAAGCGGUGGAUUAUGUGGUUUAAUUCGAUGAUACGCGAGGAACCUUACCAAGGCUUAAAUGGGAAAUGACAGGUUUAGAAAUAGACUUUUCUUCGGACAUUUUUCAAGGUGCUGCAUGGUUGUCGUCAGCUCGUGCCGUGAGGUGUUAGGUUAAGUCCUGCAACGAGCGCAACCCCUGUCACUAGUUGCCAUCAUUAAGUUGGGGACUCUAGUGAGACUGCCUACGCAAGUAGAGAGGAAGGUGGGGAUGACGUCAAAUCAUCACGGCCCUUACGCCUUGGGCCACACACGUAAUACAAUGGCCAGUACAGAGGGCAGCUACACAGCGAUGUGAUGCAAAUCUCGAAAGCUGGUCUCAGUUCGGAUUGGAGUCUGCAACUCGACUCUAUGAAGCUGGAAUCGCUAGUAAUCGCGCAUCAGCCAUGGGCGGUGAAUACGUUCCGGGCCUUGUACACACCGCCCGUCAAGCCAUGGAAGUCUGGGGUACCUGAAGUCGGUGACCGUAAAAGGAGCUGCCUAGGUAAAACAGUAACUAGGGCUAAGUCGUAACAAGGUAGCCGUACCGGAAGGUGCGGCUGGAACAUCU